GAGACUGCACCAUUGCACUCCAGCCUGGGCAACAGAGUAAGACCCUAUCUCAAAAACAAACAAAUAAUCAGUUGUGACAAAAUGGUCAGUUGUAAUUUGGGCUUGUCAUUAUUGAGAAUAAUCAUCAUCACAUAAGCAAACCAUUUUGUUACAGGUGACGAAUCCAUACAGGUCUGCAGCAACCUCAACUCUUGCGUCCUCAGAAGAAAGAAUUUGACUGUGGGGCAUGAAGUAGAAGGAGAAACAAAGAACUCUGAACAUGCCAAUCUACUACCCUCUAGAAGACUAUGGAGUCUCUGAUGAGAAAUCAGCUAUUAAUCUUAUCAAGGAUCCUUAAGACCUCUACAAAAGAAUAAAACUCAUGAAGUACCAAUCCUUCUAAUGGGUAAAAAUGCUCAAAAGGGAAAUUUAAAAAUUAAAAGUAAGUCCACUGGUUGAGAUGUUUGUAAGUGUGCAUAGCAGACUUUAGAUGAGGACUAAAGAAAACAGUUAUGGCAAAAGGAAGGAAUUCACCAUGCAGUAGCAUUUGACUAUGAUGACAUAGCUAAAAAACUACACAGAAACAACUUAAAUAUGCCUGCUUGAAAGCAUUCCUAGUACUGAAUAUACAAAUUUAGAAAUCCAUGUUUCUAAAACUCCUUGCUUCAUUUCUAUUAAUAACUAGACAAGCCUGAAAUUACAUUUUCACUAAUGUAUAUUCUUAGAGCUAUGUGACUCUCAAAGGUUUAUCAAUAAUUUUAAAUCAAAUAAAAACAAUUUAUCUGACAUUGUAGUAUGUCUGAAAUGUACUUAAUGAAGCAAGUAUCUAAAGUCCAUCACUGUGCUCUAUAAAGCACAAAAUAAAAGAUAAAACAUCCCUAUUCUCAAAGAGCCUACACCCUUAUGUGGCAGGGGAUGGAGGGCAGUAACAGUCACUUAACCAUUCUGAACUGGUUUCAUUAUCUGGGUAAUUUAUUUUCCUUUUGAGACAGUGUCUAGCUUUGUUGCCCAGGCUGGAGUGCUGUGGCACAAUCUUAGCUCGCUGCAACCUCCACCUCUCAGGUUCAAGUGAUACUCCUGCCUGAUCUUCCUGAGUAGCUGAAAUUACAGGUGCGUGCCACCA